UGGGAAUAUGCCCUUCUCUACGGAAUAGCCUCGGGAAACUGAGAGUAAUACCGGAUACGCCCUUCGGGGGAAAGAUUUAUCGGGGAAGGAUUAGCCCGCGUUAGGAUUAGGUAGUUGGUGGGGUAAUGGUCUACCAAGCCUACUAUCAUAGCUGGUUUGAGAGGAUGAUCAGCAACUACUGGGACUGGGACACUGGCCCAGACUCCUACGGGAGGCAGCAGGUGGGGAAUCUUAGACAAUGGGCGCAAAGCCUGAUCUAGCCAUGCCGAGUAGAAGUGACCGAAGGCCCUAGGGUCUGUAAAGCUCUUUCACUGGGGAAGAUAAAUGACUGUACCCACUAAAGAAGGUCCCUGGCUAACUCCGUGCCANCACCCGUGAUAUAGUGGAAGGGACUAACCGUCCGUUCGGAAUUACCAGNGCNGUAAAGCACGAGAUAGCUCGACAUU
rnacentral:rRNA from 1 species